rnacentral:rRNA from 1 species
AAAAAUAAGUCUCAGUUCGGAUUGAAGGCUGAAAUUCGCCUUCAUGAAGCCGGAAUUGCUAGUAAUGGCAGGUCAGCAUACUGCCGUGAAUACGUUCCCGGGCCUUGUACACACCGCCCGUCACACCAUGAGAGUUGGGAAUACCCGAAGCCUGUGAGCUAACUUUUAGAGGCAGCAGUCGAAGGUAGAAUCAAUGAUUGGGGUGAAGUCGUAACAAGGUAUC